rnacentral:rRNA from 1 species
UACGAAGGGUGCUAGCGUUGCUCGGAAUCACUGGGCGUAAAGCGCACGUAGGCGGAUCGUUAAGUCCGGGGUGAAAUCCUGGAGCUCAACUCCAGAACUGCCUUUGAUACUGGCGACCUUGAGUUCGGGAGAGGUGAGUGGAACUGCGAGUGUAGAGGUGAAAUUCGUAGAUAUUCGCAAGAACACCAGUGGCGAAGGCGGCUCACUGGCCCGAUACUGACGCUGAGGUGCGAAAGCGUGGGGAGCAAACAGG